GGUCACUAUAUGGCUCACUCUAGCACCAGUUAAUCCAAAAGGUUUCAACCACGAAAAUACAUGUUUCCCAUGAAAGUCAGUACGAUUGUUAGCUCACACGGACAGGGCAAAUAAAAAAUAACAUAUAUAUAUAUAUAUAUAUAUAUAUAUAAUCAUCAUCAUCAUCGUUUAGCAUCCGCUUUCCAUGCUAGCAUGGGUUGGACGGUUCAACUGGGGUCUGGGAAGCCAGAAGGCUGCGCCAGACCCAGUCUGAUCUGGCAGUGUUUCUACGGCUGGGUGCCCUUCCUAACGCCAGCCACUCCAAGAGUGUAGUGGGUGCUUUUUACGUGCCACCUGCACAGGUGCCAGACGAGGCUAGCAAAUGGCCACGAUCGGAUGGUGCUUUUUAUGUGCCACCGGCACGGAUCCAGUCAGGGCGGUGCUGGCAACGGCCACAUACGGAUGGUUCUCUUAUGUUCCACCAGCACUGGUAUCACAGCUACAAUUUCCAUUGAUGUUGAACGAUUUUGAUUUUGAUUUUUGAUUUUCGAUAUAUGUAUAUAUAGAGAUAUAGAUUUACAUAAGGUGAAUAAACUGUCGUCUAAAUUACACAAAAAUGAAAAUAAGACUGACAUCUCAUUUUAACAGAUAUAUUUACCAAAAUUACAUAAAAAUAUCUUGAAAUACUAAAGAGUAAAUUAAUUCAAUAAAAUCGCCAUUGGCUUCAACCAUGGCCUCCAGACGACUUCUGGGUGGUCUCCUUGUUUAAGUUGGUGAAUGCAGCCAUCAUUCUUGCCUGCAGUUCAUCUUCGGUGUUACAAGGAGUUUUGUCGGUCCCUCGCUCAACUGCGCCCUACACAUAAUAAUCAAGGGGGUUGCAGUUUGGGAAGUUAGGUGAUCAGGUGUUAGGGGUGAUGUGGUCGCAGAAAUUGUCUGACAGUCAUGAGUGGGUUCUCCUGCUUGUGUGGAAUGGUGCAGAGUCCUGCUACCAGACAUAGGAUCUUCCAGCAGCCACUCUUGACCAAGGGCCACGCUACCUCCUCCAGGCACUUAAUGUAGGCCUCCGUGUUGAGUCUGAGGCUGUGUGGGAAGAUGAAUGGAGGAAUAACGUCGCCAUCACUAGUGAUCAUUCCAAACACCAUGAUGUUGACUGGAUGUUUGAUUUUUACCACUCUUGGUACAUUUCCUCAGAUUGACACCCAAACACUCUGAAGUGUUUGCAUUGGAGUUUCUGGCAUGAAUGCCAAGCAGUACAGCAUGUCGUUUCCAAAUUUCUGGCAGAGUGAAAUGCGUCAUGGUGCUGUUUUUCUCACAGAUGGUGCCCAACUGACCCUACUAUACUAUGUAGUCUACAAAAUCAAAAACAAACAAUGCACAAAAUUAAAAAUAUAAUAUGGCAAUUUACCCAUCAUACCCUAUAUAUAUAUAUCAUCAUCAUCAUCAUCAUUUAAUGUCCGCUUUCCAUGCUAGCAGGGGUUGGACGGUUCAACUGAGGUUUGGGAAGCCCGAAGGCUGCACCAGACUCCAAUCUGAUUUGGCAACGUUUCUACAGCUGGAUGCCCUUCCUAAUGUAUAUAUAUAUAUAUAUAUAUAUAUAUACACACACACCCACUUACACAUUCCAGUAUAAAUAUAUAUGCACAUACAUAACAUAUAUAUAUAUAUAUAUGAAUCAUUGAAAUAGAAAAUUACAAGAAAACUGAGACAGGAAGGGAUUUUAAUCCCAACUAAAGCAUUUGCAUAUCAUGUGACCUAUCUUAACACUUGUUGAUGACCUUUCGUGUGUUUGUUGUCAACACAUCUAACUAGCUCAGUCUGCCGGGGCCGUCAAAAAGGCACAAAGUGAAUGAUUGAUAAAUCACCAUUGUAAGAGCAAAAUCUGUGAAAUUAUAGAAUGCUUUAUUAAUAGCUGAGUUUAAAUUACCUGCCCACUCUUUAGGUGGGACAAGAUAUUAACCCCUUAGCAUUCAGAUAAUCCUGUGAAAUUUAACCCUUAUUUAUUCAUGUUUUGAAUUAAUCCCGCAUUAUCUCAUAGCUUUGAGAUUUCUAUGAUGUGAUUGUUUAUUUUCAGAAUGACAUUGUAGGAUAGGUGUGAGAGGCUGGAUCUGGCCUUGCUUUGAAUUAAUCAUGCAUUAUCUCAUAGCUUUGAGAUUUCAAUGAUGUGAUUGUUUAUUUUCAGAAUGACAUUGUAGGAUAGGUGUGAGAGGCAGGAUCUGGCCUUGUUUUGAAUUAAUCAUGCAUUAUCUCAUAGCUUUGAGAUUUCAAUGAUGUGAUUGUUUAUUUUCAGAAUGACAUUGUAGGAUAGGUGUGAGAGGCAGGAUCUGGCCUUGUUUUGAAUUAAUCAUACAUUAUCUUCUAGCUUUGAGAUUUCAAUGAUGUGAUUAUUUAUUUUUAGAAUGACAUUGUAGGGUAGGUGUGAGAGGCAGGAUCUGGUAGAAUAUUUAGGCUGGAUGUGGCUGGUUUAAAUGGUGAAGAGUAAAGUCUGGCACAAGAGAAGAGAGAAAAGGGUGAUUGUGUUUCUUGGAGUCUCUCCUGGCUUAAUCCCUUUCCCACCCCCCACCUUCCCGAUGAACAUUAUGAGAUACACCUUUUAUGAUGAAGCCUUCCAUGGUGUCCCCCGUAAUCUUAUAAUUUUUGCAUCCUCAUCAUCAUACUCAUUAUCAUUUUACGUCUGCUUUCCAUGCUGGCAUGGGUUUGACAGACAUCAUGUAGCAAUUCAAUUCUUUAAUCAGAGAUAUUGCCCUCCAAGAAAGGUCAAGGGACCAUAUCUUGUUUAUGUUUCCUUUUGGGGUUUCUAUUCCCUUCUUAACACCAACUAUUUUACAGAAUGUAUUAAUAUCAAUAGUCUUAUUGCGGCACCGGUAAUAGUGAGCCUUGUCAUAGCCUCAACAGAACUGGCAAUACUUCUUCGUUCUAAGUUAUCUUCUUCCCUUGUGUACUAACCACUUUAGAGAGAGAGUACUGGAUACAUAUCAUUAUGGAACUAACACUACUGAGGUUACUAUACCCUCAGCAGAUUGGUAACACCCCUGAAAUCCUAAGUUAUCUCCCCAUGUUUAAUUAACCACUUUACAGAUUGUACUGGAUACAUUUUAUAGCACCAACACCAGAGGAGUCGUCAUAGCCCCAAUGGCACUAACAACACUUCUCACUCCUAAAUUAUCUCCCUUUGUUUUACUAACCUUUCUCAGACGGCACUGGAUACAUAUUUAACGAACCGAUCCUUAUGAGAACUCAUAACCUGUAAAUUUUUAAUUAUUUAUUUAUUUAUUUCAUUUUUAUAUAACAAGCAUUUUAUGAAAAAAUAGCCUGAACUUGCUAAUUACUUGUUCCUGAUAUUUAUUUCCAAUGGCACGAGUUGCAAGGAAUUGUCUGUGCAAUUCUGGCAGAAUAAAUACUACAAGAUGUUUUCAUU
rnacentral:lncRNA from 1 species